CAUCCUUACUUAGGAGUGGAAAAAUCAGAAGAGACUCCACCGUAAGAUAGAGGUAACGCUGAGUGAAUUUGACGUGAAGCACGUGUCGGCAGAUUCCUUGACCAGGGCUAAAGAUGUGCUUAAGAGUAUGGACAGUGCCAAGGCCCGCAAAUCUAGCGCUGCCGCCGCCAAACUUUAUGAAUGGGCGAUAACUAUAAUAAAAGACAUGGAAGAUCAAAACAAGGAUUGAAUCAGGAGGCAGCACUUAUAUGUACAGGGCACUUCUGUAUUAAUCGUGCUAUCUGUCAUGACAAAUCAACUAAAAACGAGAACAUACUAAACUUCCACAUUUAAAACUAGAAAAAAAGACAAAUAAAUAUUAAAACUAUAA